CUAAUAAAGGGAGGGAGAAGCAAUCAAAUGAAGGGAAAAUUUCGCCGCCCCUCAGCCACUUCUGUUCCCCCUCCUAAAACCUCAGUCUCCCUCUCGUUCUCUCUCUAAACCCCCUCUACGUUCUUCAUAUAGAUACCCAUACCCAUAUAUACGUUUGCCCAUAUAUGCGUUUAUGCCUGUUUGCUUCUAGUUUUAAUAUUCAUCUAAAGCUGCGAUUGGAUUGAAGCUUGUUUUGGGAGUCUAAUGGCGGGGAAAUCUAAUAAAGGGAGGAACCGGAGGGGUUCAAAUAACACAGCAAAUUCCUCUGAGUCGGUGGUGUCUGCCAGUGCUCCUUUGAAAGAUAACCUAACUGCUUCAGAGUCUGGCAAAGCUGAUGCUAACGGAGCACCGGCUUUGAGUGAACCAAGUAACGCUGUACAAGAUGGAAAGGAGUCUGAAACCACAAAUUUACCGGAUGGACCAAAGCAAGGUGAGCUUCAUCUGUAUCCUGUCUCUGUCACAGCACAGAGUGGCGAGAAGCUUGAGCUGCAGUUGAACCCUGGAGAUUCUGUCAUGGACAUAAGACAAUUCCUUCUUGAUGCUCCUGAGACAUGUUUCUUCACAUGCUAUGACUUGCUGCUGCGCACAAAAGAUGGUACAACUCAUCAGCUUGAAGAUUAUAAUGAGAUCUCUGAAGUAGCAGACAUUACUACUGGUGGUUGCUCCUUGGAGAUGGUUGCUGCUCCUUAUGAUGAUAGAUCAAUCAGGGCUCAUGUCCACCGCACAAGAGAAUUGCUUUCACUUUCCACACUUCAUGCUUCACUUUCCACGUCACUUGCAUUAGAGUAUGAAAACAAGGCUUCAAGUUCAGAUACUGUGAAAGCUGAAGUCCCUGAGCUUGAUGGGCUGGGAUUUAUGGAGGAUGUUGCUAGCUCACUUGGUAAAUUGCUAUCAUCUUCAUCAAAAGAGAUCAAAUGUGUGGAGAGUAUUGUGUUUUCGUCAUUCAAUCCUCCCCCAAGCUAUAGAAGGCUUGUUGGAGAUUUAAUAUAUUUGGAUGUAGUGACAUUGGAAGGUAAUAAGUAUUGUAUUACUGGAACCACAAAAUCGUUUUAUGUCAAUUCAAGCACAGGCAAUGUCCUUGACCCAAGGCCUAGUAAAGCUACUUCUGAAGCCACAACCCUUAUUGGACUCCUGCAAAAAAUCAGCUCCAAGUUCAAAAAAGGUAAAGGAAAAUGAUUCAGAAUUUUGUUGUUUGUGGACCUUGAAAUUGAUAUUUUUGGUAUUUGUCUGGAAUGGUUACUUUCCUUAUAUCACAUGUUCUUGUUUUGAAGCAUUUCGUGAAAUUUUGGAGCGGAAGGCCUCUGCACAUCCUUUUGAAAAUGUUCAAUCUCUUCUGCCACCAAAUUCAUGGCUAGGAUCAUAUCCAAUUCCUGAUCACAGACGUGAUGCAGCCAGAGCAGAGGAUGCACUGACUCUUUCAUAUGGUAGUGAGCUGAUUGGCAUGCAAAGAGAUUGGAAUGAGGAGUUGCAAUCUUGUCGAGAGUUUCCACAUACAACACCUCAGGAAAGGAUCUUGCGUGAUAGGGCUCUCUAUAAAGUCACUUCUGAUUUUGUUGAUGCGGCAAUUAAUGGUGCUAUUGGAGUUAUCAGCCGAUGUAUCCCCCCCAUAAAUCCAACUGAUCCAGAGUGCUUUCAUAUGUAUGUUCACAACAAUAUAUUCUUCAGUUUUGCUGUGGAUGCGGACCUUGAGCAGCUGUCUAAGAAGCAUACUAAAGAUAUUAAUUCAAAGACAGAGAGCAUUACUUCUUCACAAAAUUCAUCCGAAAAGGUAUCAAAUGAUUUGACACACGAGGACAGUGGUAUUUCCAAUGGGGGAUGUGAUGGAUCAACUACAGUAGAAGGUAAUGGAGUUGUGGAAUCAACUCCUUUAUUGUCUUCUGACACCCAGUUGGCAGAGAGUGAGCAGGCUACAUAUGCCUCUGCAAACAAUGAUCUGAAAGGGACCAAGGCCUACCAGGAAGCAGAUGUCCCUGGACUGUAUAACCUUGCCAUGGCCAUAAUUGAUUACAGGGGUCAUAGAGUGGUAGCACAGAGUGUUUUACCUGGAAUUCUUCAAGGGGAUAAGUCAGACUCCCUUCUAUAUGGAUCUGUUGACAAUGGCAGGAAAAUAUGCUGGAAUGAAGAAUUUCAUUCCAAGGUACUGGAAGCUGCCAAACGCCUCCAUCUAAAGGAGCAUGAAGUUGUAGAUGGAUCUGGAAAUGUUUUCAAAUUAGCUGCACCAGUAGAAUGUAAAGGCAUUGUUGGUAGUGAUGACAGGCACUAUCUUCUGGACUUGAUGAGAGUAACUCCCCGUGAUGCAAACUACAAUGGACCAGGAUCCCGAUUUUGUAUUUUGAGACCUGAACUGAUUGCUGCCUUUUGCCAGGCUGAAUCUGUAAAGAGAUCAAAGAGUAAGCCUAAAUCUGAGGAUGAGGCUCAUGCAACUGCAGAUUCUUCUGAAGUUGCUGGUGUUGAUGAACAGGUGAAACCUGUGGCAAACUUUCCUGCACCUUCUGCUGAUAGUCAGGUAAGUAUUCCUUUACCUUGUAUUCUUUUGUGUUGUCUAUUAAUGAGUUGCAUUCUAUAAAUCUAAUGUGUGAUUAAAAUGCGUUCACACACUGAGGCAGUUACUUUUUGUGUCUAAUUUGUUAUUGUAUUAUCUCACAAAACUUCACUCCUCUUUUAAAUUACCCAGUUUUGGAAUUGUUUGGUUUGCGUGAGGCUGUCAAUACUGUGACACAGGAUUAGCAUGUUCCUAACUGUAAAAAAUUCUAUUAGCUAGCCAGGGUAGUUGAAGCAACCAUAGUUUCAUUUACAAAGUUGAUAACAUAUGUUUAAAUUAUUAUUUAGUUGAAGUACUGUUUCCUUGUACUAAAAUCAGGAAUUUACUUUCUUGUGCUCCAUUCUGUUCUGCUCUAGCUUCUGUUAUUCAGUGUUUUCAACAGCUACCUUAUGCAUUUUUCCUUAUUUAACUUAUGUUUACAAGCAUCAGUGUUGUAUCCUGAUUCCCCAUUUGUUCAAUCUUGUAGUGCGUUCUUGGAGCAAGUAAUAUCAAAAUAAAUUAUGUGAUGAAGCACUAGCACAUUUAUCUGCUCAAAAUUUAACAUGAACAUCUUAUUUUCUUCCAUUUAUACAAGCAGUUAAUUGAAUUGUGUGGCUGUGUUGGUCCACAGGAGAUAACGCAAAAAGGGAAGGUUGAGAUGGUUGAAGAAUGUGCUUCUGUUCCUUCUGGAAGUUGUGAAUCAAAUGAUGAAAUACUUUUUAACCCUAAUGUUUUUACCGAGUUUAAGCUUGCUGGGAGUCCAGAGGAGAUAGCGAAGGAUGAAGAAAAUGUGGGGAAAGCUAGUUCUUAUCUUGCAGAUACUGUGCUUCCAAAAUUCAUCCAAGAUCUUUGCACACUUGAAGUGUCACCCAUGGAUGGGCAGACUCUUACUGAAGCACUGCAUGCACAUGGAAUUAAUGUGCGCUAUAUUGGAAGGGUUGCUGAAGGAACGAAACAUUUACCUCAUUUGUGGGAUCUUUGUUCUAAUGAGAUUGUAGUCAGAUCUGCUAAGCACAUCCUCAAGGAUGUAUUGAGAGAUACAGAAGAUCAAGAUCUUGGUUCAGCAAUCUCACAUUUUUUCAACUGUUUCUUUGGAAAUUGUCAAGCUGUUGGAAUAAAAGUUGCUGCUAAUAGUUCACAGCCAAGAUCACAAAAGAAAGACCAAGUUGGCCAUCAAUCAUCUGGAAAAUCAUCUAGGGGCCAAACAAGGUGGAAAGGAGCAUCGGCAAGAAAGAAUCAAUCCUCGUAUAUGAGUGUCAGCUCAGAGACUUUGUGGUCUGAAAUUAAGGAAUUUGCAAAUCUCAAAUAUCAGUUUGAGUUGCCAGAGGAUGCAAGGUCACGGGUGAACAAAAUUUCAGUUAUUCGUAAUGUUUGCCAAAAGGUGGGGGUUACAAUUGCAGCUCGCAAAUAUGAUCUUAAUGCUGUAGCACCUUUCCAAACAUCAGAUAUCUUAGAUCUGAAACCUGUAGUGAAGCACUCUGUUCCAGUAUGCUCAGAAGCUAAGGAUCUUGUGGAAACAGGAAAAGUUCAAUUGGCUGAGGGUAUGCUUAGUGAAGCCUAUACAUUAUUCUCCGAGGCGUUUUCCAUUCUUCAACAGGUGACUGGUCCAAUGCAUCGGGAGGUUGCCAACUGUUGUAGGUAUCUUGCCAUGGUUUUGUAUCAUGCUGGAGACAUGGGUGGAGCAAUAAUACAACAGCACAAGGAAUUAAUCAUAAAUGAACGUUGCCUGGGAUUAGACCAUCCUGAUACUGCUCACAGGCACCAUUCUUUGCCCUUUUAUUCUCAAUAACAAAUUGAAUUUGUGAUCUCCCCAAAUGUUUAUCUUUCCUCCUCUUUCUUGUCUUUGCAUUUAUCAUGGCCACCAUUUAGUGUCACAGGCAUCUUUAGCUGGAGAGAGAAAAAAAUCCCCAUGGGCUUGGAUUUCUGAGAAAAAUAUUUUUUGAGCAACUUUUUGCAUUUGAAGUUGUAUUUCAAAUGAAUGUUAUGAUAAAUUUAUAUUGCGUAGUGUUAACUUAACCGGAGAUCUGUGCCAACUACCAUGGGACUGAGUUCAGGUGAUCAUCACACAUUUAAUGAUCAACAAAUUGAGUCAUACUAUGUGCAUAAAAUGCAGCUAAAAGAUAUGAUGCUAUUAUGCUAAUGUACUGAAAAUUUCCUGACAUUGAUUAUUCAUAGUGUUUUCAAAAUGAUAGGUUCAAUUUGAGUGCUGCUGCAUUAAGCAUCUGGCAACCUUCUUAAAUUCUUUCUUCGAUUGAACUAUUUGCUCACUUUAUUUGCAACUAUGCAACUACAGCUAUGGCAAUAUGGCUCUUUUCUACCAUGGACUUAACCAGACAGAACUUGCACUGCGGCACAUGUCCCGUGCACUGCUCUUACUGAGUUUGUCAUCUGGCCCAGAUCAUCCUGAUGUAGCUGCAACUUUUAUAAAUGUUGCAAUGAUGUACCAGGACAUUGGAAAGAUGAACACGGCUCUUCGUUAUUUGCAAGAGGCCUUGAAAAAGAAUGAGAGACUUCUAGGAGAGGAGCAUAUCCAAACUGCUGUAUGUUAUCAUGCUCUUGCCAUUGCAUUUAACUGUAUGGGCGCAUUCAAGCUCUCACACCAGCAUGAGAAGAAGACCUAUGAUAUACUUGUCAAGCAACUUGGUGAAGAGGACUCAAGGACACGAGACUCCCAAAACUGGAUGAAGACAUUUAAGAUGCGUGAACUUCAGAUGAAUGCACAGAAGCAGAAAGGCCAGGCUCUGAAUGCAACUUCUGCUCAGAAAGCAAUUGAUAUCUUGAAGGCUCAUCCUGACUUGAUACAGGCAUUCCAAGCUGCCGCUGCAGCUGGAGGAUCUGGGAGUUCUAGUGCUUCUGUCAACAAAUCCCUAAAUGCAGCAAUAAUUGGGGAGACACUUCCGCGGGGCAGAGGAGUCGAUGAAAGGGCUGCUCGGGCUGCAGCAGAAGUUAGGAAGAAAGCAGCAGCUAGAGGCCUCUUGAUUCGCCCACAUGGUGUUCCUGUCCAAGCUUUGCCACCACUUACUCAGCUCCUAAACAUCAUUAAUUCAGGGAUGACCCCUGAUGCAGUUGACAACGAGGAAGCAAAUAGUGUGAAGAAGGAAGCCAAUGGUCAACCUUCUGAUGGGGCUGUAGAUACAAAAAAAGAUGAAAUACCAGCACCGGAAGAUCCGGCUCCUGUUGGAUUGGGCAAGGGCUUAGCGUCGUUGGACACCAAGAAGCAGAAAUCAAAACCAAAAGCUGCGGCUUAAAAUUUUGAAGCAGAGAUUUGAUGGGUUGGCAGCAAUGCUCGAAAUUUUGCACGACAGUGGCAGUUUCCUAAUCUGAAAUUUAGUGAUCAGCAGCUACUACUGUUGAAGAUUAACGAGGGUAGCCAAAAAAAACAUCAUUUGUAUUCAAAUUUUUUUCCCCAAUAAUCAGGCUCUUAAAUGCAACGAGCGUUAAUGUCUACCUUGGAACUGCUAAUAGAUUUAUAUAUU
rnacentral:misc_RNA from 1 species